GAACGAAUAUGGGGGGGGAGAGACGCCAUGGCGUUGUUUACAUCCCGGGGCCCAGUAGCAGGUCCCAGCCUCUUCCUUCUCGGGUGAUUUCUAGAGUAAAUAAUUGAGAGAAGACUACAAGUGUGUCCCAUCCCUGAAUUGGGAGUUCCCUGCUUUGUGCUUUUAAGUCAGGCCAACAGGUUGAGACACAAGCUGUUUUGGUCAGGACUUGAGGAUGUUGACCAGAGUCCGCUAAUAUCCUUCAAUAUUUAGUGUUACAGACACCUGCUCCAAGUGAUACGCCAUGACAGAAGUGUUCCGGUUCGGCCUCGUGUCCAUCGCUUGUCGUGCCCGGAAUGAGGACCGCAGCCAAGUGGCAUUGAGUCUCAACAACAAUGAAGUGAAUAUAUAUGGCAGAGCUGCAUCAGAGUGGAAGCU